GAACUACGUUAAUCGAUAGGAGAAUAAGUAUCGUUUAUAGAUGCAGACGGAGACAAGACGCGACACGUGAAAUCACGGUUAAAAGUGUCGGUAGUCGGUAGUGCGUGCGCGCGAAUUGCGAUCAUUUUGGCCAUAUGCAGUGCGCUGCCCAGCACAUCGGCAUGGUGUAAGUGAAUCCGAUUAGAAAGCCGCAAAAAGAACGGGAAAGGCGAGAACCCAACGCUUUUAUUUAGCAUUUCCCCGAUUCGCUCGUGUCUGUGUAUGCGUGUGCGUGCGUGAGCGUCCGCCUGCGUGAGUGUAUGUGUGUUUUUUUUCCUCUUUUGGUGUGUGCCUUUUUUUUUGUACACUGGAGACGCGCUCUUUCUUGUGGCAGACAGGGCUGAAUAAAAAAAGAAAAGCAAUGUGAAAUGUUUGCAAAUUGAGCCGUACAAGUUGUACAUUAAGUGCAAAAUGGAAACAUAGAAAAAGGUAGCGGCAGCAACAACAACAACGAGCAACGAAAAACGGCAAAAUCUUUUUUGUUUGCCUCUCUCGCUCUCGCCCUCUCUCGCUGCGUGUGUGUGAGUGUGUGUGUGCGCGCGUCACAUAUUGACGUCCCUCUCUUGCCACCAACAACGAAAGAAAAAAAGGAAUAAAGUGAAACAUGUUUUUCUGUAACAGCAACUACAACAACAACAACAACGGCAGCUGCAGCCAUCAACAGCAACUUUAAACAUGUGUGGAAUAGUACCAGCGAAAAUAUAAAAAACCCUGGAGAUUUAAAAACCAAAAAAUUAAAAACAACGGCGAAAAUCGAAUCGAGCGACAACAACAACAGCAGCAGUACAGUUUUGUAAACAAAGCGUGUCGACAAUUAUUUACAAAUAUCAAAUGCAAAUGUAAAUGUAAACGGGAAAACAAAAGUUCUGAGAAAAUGUUUAACCACAAUGUCGAGGAAAGUGGCAGUAAAAUAUUACCAUAAAACAAAAACUACAGUAACUUAAGCAAACCAACCAUACCAUCAUUAAAAAUAAAAUCGAUAAAACAAAAAAACGCCGAAGAAAGUCAGAUCGCAAAAGUUUUUGCUUUCUUCUCAGAUUUCCCUCGUGCGUGUGUGUGCGUGUGUGUGUGUGUUUUGUUUUCAUUAAAGCACACACACACGCUCCCGUUGUUUGGGAGUGUGUGCAAUUGUCAUGCUAAACGGUAAAUAAACGGAAAAAGCAAUAACAACUGGAGAAGGAGAAACGCGUUUUUGUUUUGUUUGUUUCAUAAAUGUUUGACAAUUACACUGUAAAAAGUAAUAAAUAAUAAUAAACGGAAAAGCAAAUCCAACAAAAGA